rnacentral:rRNA from 1 species
UACGUAGGUGGCAAGCGUUGUCCGGAUUUACUGGGCGUAAAGAGCGCGCAGGCGGUCGUUCAAGUCGCGUGUGAAAGCCCCCGGCUCAACUGGGGAGGGUCACGCGAUACUGAUCGACUGGAAGGCAGGAGAGGGUAGUGGAAUUCCCGGUGUAGUGGUGAAAUGCGCAGAUAUCGGGAGGAACACCAGUGGCGAAGGCGGCACUCUGGGUCGGUACUGACGCUGAGGAGCGAAAGCGUGGGGAGCGAACAGG